AGUGAACGCUGGCGGUAGGCCUAACACAUGCAAGUCGAACGACAGCACAGUAAGAGCUUGCUCUUACGGGUGGCGAGUGGCGGACGGGUGAGGAAUACAUCGGAAUCUACUUUUUCGUGGGGGAUAACGUAGGGAAACUUACGCUAAUACCGCAUACGACCUACGGGUGAAAGCAGGGGAUCUUCGGACCUUGCGCGAUUGAAUGAGCCGAUGUCGGAUUAGCUAGUUGGCGGGGUAAAGGCCCACCAAGGCGACGAUCCGUAGCUGGUCUGAGAGGAUGAUCAGCCACACUGGAACUGAGACAAGGUCCAGACUCCUACGGGAGGCAGCAGUGGGGAAUAUUGGACAAUGGGCGCAAGCCUGAUCCAGCCAUACCGCGUGGGUGAAGAAGGCCUUCGGGUUGUAAAGCCCUUUUGUUGGGAAAGAAAAGCAGCAGGUUAAUACCCCGCUGUUCUGACGGUACCCAAAGAAUAAGCACCGGCUAACUUCGUG
rnacentral:rRNA from 1 species